GAAAUCGGGAUUAAUACUUUAUAAUAAUAAGAUCCGGCAUCGGAUUUUAUUUAAAGCUCCGGCGGUUUUAGAUGGGCAUGCGUGACAUUAGCUUGUUGGUGAGGUAACGGCUCACCAAGGCAACGAUGUCUAGGGGUUCUGAGAGGAUUUUCCCCCACACUGGUACUGAGACACGGACCAGACUCCUACGGGAGGCAGCAGUAAGGAAUAUUGGGCAAUGGACGCAAGUCUGACCCAGCCAUGCCGCGUGCAGGAUGACAGCCCUACGGGUUGUAAACUGCUUUUAUAUGGGAAAAAUUCUUCCGACGUGUCGGAAGUCGAUUGUACCAUACGAAUAAGCACCGGCUAACUCCGUGCCAGCAGCCGCGGUAAUACGGAGGGUGCAAGCGUUAUCCGGAUUUAUUGGGUUUAAAGGGUGCGCAGGCGGAAUGAUAAGUCAGUGGUGAAAUCCUACGGCUCAACCGUAGAACUGCCAUUGAUACUGUUGUUCUUGAGUACAGUUGUAGUGGGCGGAAUAUGUCAUGUAGCGGUGAAAUGCAUAGAU
rnacentral:rRNA from 1 species